AGUGAAAGCUGGGUGGAGGAGGCAGCAGCUACUACCUGUCCCAGUGCGAUGGAAGGGGAAUAGGAAGCAAAUGCUGGCAGCGGUAACAUUACUCUGCUUGUGCAGAUAAAAAUGGCUCCUUCCAGUUAGACAGCUGGAGAGCGAGCCAAUAAAAGAGAUGUCAUUCCGGAUACAAAAUUCCCUCGCUGUGUUGGGAUGCUGAGCAGGAGGCAGUGGGGACUGGGACGCAGUAAAUGUGUGGGUUUCCACAGGAUGGGCCACGCGCCCGCAACAACACGGGGUGCAAGACUAAAACAAGACUCUUUGCGUCCAAUGUCUGAGAUUGCUGAAAAGCAGUGCACAAACUCAGUGCCAGCCUGGUCAAGUGACACGCGUUCAUUGGUGAUUACCCCUUUCCCGAAAUGUUCCAAGAGAACGUUCAAGACUUGGGGUUCUUUACUCAUUUGUGUUAGAAUCCCGCUUGCUGCUACUCCGCUGCCUUCCUCCCCUGGCAGAAUAUUUCGCCAGUUGCCAAUGUCAUAGGCAAAAUUCCCAGGUCUAAAAGAGCAGGUUGGUCUUCUUACCAGUUGCCUGCAAAAGGCACAAAGCUAUCACAAUGGUACCCAUUGCUAUCUGACUUAUACUAGAGUCAAAACAGCAGGCCCUACCUCGUUAUGGAGAAACAUCCUCUGUCAGGGAGGCAAUAUGAUGCCUUAUGCAGAGGGUCUGGACUUUGCAUCUAUAAUUCCUAUGAUCCUAUCUAGCUCCUGCUCAGGAAUGGUUUCAUUCUUGUUUCUCACACCAGAAGUCCCAGUCUUGAGACAAUGUCAAGGAAAAGUCUUGUAUAAAUGCAAUUAUCUGUUUCUACAGGUUUGUAGCCUUAAAAAAAACAAACGCCUUGUAACACAAACGUUCCAUUCAGUAAAAUAAAUAAAAUAACAGCAAAGAGCUGCGUCUAUUGUGUCCUACUCUCCAGCUCUCUGUCACUAUGGUUGGUCUUGGCAAAAUGUGCAGCUCAUGGCAAACAUCCUCGACACAUUCACACAAGGUGCCAACAAGGCCAGCUUCCCUCCAUCUUGUUAGCUCCAAUUUCUGCCCAGGAUGAGAAGGA